GAUUUUAAGCUGUCGAGAGGCUUGAUUAAGAUUUUAAAUCAUAACCAUUUUCAACAGUUUUCAUUUUAAAAGUUUGUAUUUAAAUAUGCGACAUUUUACUUUGAUGCUAGAUAUAAGGAAACGACAAACCAACCAUUUUUUUUAAUAAUGAAAAAAUGGUUUGUUUGUUUUUGCUUUUAAUCAUCUUUGAGGGCAAAGCAUGGAGUAAUGAAAUCUAUUGUUAACUGAAUUCAAUUUUGAAAAUUCAUGAAAGCUUCAAAGUUUAAAAAAUAAAGUAAUCUAAUUCCAAACAGUAUUUACAUAGACAAAGAGUGUUUUUGAGUUCUUCCUGAAGUUUGAAAAGUUGAUUUUAUAGGUGGACCUAUGUUUUGGGAGGAGAAAAUCAGACUUUGAUUAAUGGAAAACUAAAAUUUCUAAGAUGCCUUAGGGUCCGGCUCAUUCAUUUUUCAGACAUUGAAUAAUUUUAGUUAAAACUUAUUGUGUUUUAUUUCAGAUGAACUUUGAAAAGAUGAGGAAAUUUAAGAAUAACAAGUAAGGACUAGAGAAUUCUACAACUGAUCAAACCCAUGUCUACAUCAGUCUGUAGCAGAUAAAAGUCGGCCUGAAGGAAACAUUAGCAAACUUUUUGAACAGCUGAAAGUAGAAAACAAAAACUUUCCUCUCCUUCCCCCCUUGUUC